ensembl:lncRNA
UCCGGCUAUGUUACGUUGAUUCUCAUUAUGUUAUUCAGAUCUUGAGAACUGCGGAAGCGAACGAUUUUCUUACCUGCAAACUGCUAAUUGCUAACUGCUAACUUCUAGCUAUUUCUAUCAAGAAUUUCCUUUUAUUUCAUUAGCAACUAUAAUAAGUGUAUUAAUCAGCUCACAUUAUCCUUUGUAAUUCGGAAACCAAGGAAUAAAAACCGGAGAUUUCAUCUUUUAUUUCAAAAAUGUUUCUGAGGUGGAUUUAUUGAACUGUGUUGCUGGGUUGCAGUGGACAUCGCGAAUGGGAUUAGCUGCUUGGAACAAUGUUAGAUAAUUAUUAGCGUAAGCCAUAGCAUAUCUCAAGAUUUUAAACCUCUACAUUAGUAAAAAACCUGCUUGACAUUGGACAACGAGCCUUUGGAGAGGUUUGUGGAAAAUGGAACAUGAAAGUUCAACGAGGGACUGAUCAUUCGCUGUGCCCGUGGCUGAUCUAAUUCUCCAAGACGAGUCUGGGCAACCUGUGGAUCCAAACACCACUGAGGAGGAGGCGGAGGAGGAACAAUCUCUGGCAGAAAAGACAGGGCUGUUUGCAGCAUAUCGUAAAAGACAGAGGAGAAGAGUGUAGCACUCCAGCUGCUUUGACAUUAGCAAAGGACAUUUGCAAAAGAAUGUCUUGUCCUUUGCAAAUGUAAAGCAGCAGCUCAGCUCAGCUACGAACAGAAACACUCUUCCUUCACUGUUCCGAGAUGCGAACCGACAGAAGUAAUGGGCACUGAAAGAUUCCAUGAAUCCAAGGAGUGUGUGCAUCCCUAAGUUAUCCCCUGUAACCUGGGCAAUUGUGCCAAACAAUUCAUUAAAGAAAAAAAAAUAUCCAUAAUUUUUUAUAUCUUGUGUAUGUAAUAAUAAAUAAUAAACAGUAAAUGAAUAUUAAUUAAACUUGCAUUCAUCUUUGGUGGAAAAUUCCUGAGAAUGAAGUAAAUGGCUCCGAUUUUGUGGAUGCCUUGCUUAGACCCCAGGGGAUUAGCAGAUUCAAAUUCAUCAUAAAAUAACUGUAUCUGAAGUGCAUUUUGUUUUUUACUGAAU